GAUGAACGCUGGCGGCGUGCCUAAUACAUGCAAGUCGAGCGAAUGGAUUAAGAGCUUGCUCUUAUGAAGUUAGCGGCGGACGGGUGAGUAACACGUGGGUAACCUGCCCAUAAGACUGGGAUAACUCCGGGAAACCGGGGCUAAUACCGGAUAACAUUUUGAACCGCAUGGUUCGAAAUUGAAAGGCGGCUUCGGCUGUCACUUAUGGAUGGACCCGCGUCGCAUUAGCUAGUUGGUGAGGUAACGGCUCACCAAGGCAACGAUGCGUAGCCGACCGGAGAGGGGGGUCGGCCACACUGGGACUGAGACACGGCCCAGACUCCUACGGGAGGCAGCAGUAGGGAAUCUUCCGCAAUGGACGAAAGUCUGGCGGAGCAACGCCGCGUGAGUGAUGAAGGCUUUCGGGUCGUAAAACACUGUUGUUAGGGAAGAACAAGUGCUAGUUGAAUAAGCUGGCACCUUGACGGUACCUAACCAGAAAGCCACGGCUAACUACGUGCCAGCAGCCGCCGUAA
rnacentral:rRNA from 1 species